rnacentral:rRNA from 1 species
UAACACGUGGGCAACCUGCCUGUAAGUUGGGGAUAACUCCGGGAAACCGGGGCUAAUACCGAAUGAUAAGAUGUGGCGCAUGCCACGCCUUUGAAAGAUGGUUUCGGCUAUCGCUUACAGAUGGGCCCGCGGUGCAUUAGCUAGUUGGUAGGGUAAUGGCCUACCAAGGCAACGAUGCAUAGCCGACCUGAGAGGGUGAUCGGCCACACUGGGACUGAGACACGGCCCAGACUCCUACGGGAGGCAGCAGUAGGGAAUCUUCCGCAAUGGACGAAAGUCUGACGGAGCAACGCCGCGUGUAUGAAGAAGGUUUUCGGAUCGUAAAGUACUGUUGUUAGAGAAGAACAAGGAUAAGAGUAACUGCUUGUCCCUUGACGGUAUCUAACCAGAAAGCCACGGCUAACUACGUGCCAGCAGCCGCGGUAAUACGUAGGUGGCAAGCGUUGUCCGGAUUUAUUGGGCGUAAAGCGCGCGCAGGCGGUCUUUUAAGUCUGAUGUGAAAGCCCCCGGCUUAACCGGGGAGGGUCAUUGGAAACUGGAAGACUGGAGUGCA